GACCACCGCUUCCUUCCUCGGCCUCCCGCCCGCCCGCACUGUCAGACCUGGAGCGGGCGGAGCUCAGGGAGGAAGGGGGGGCAGC